GUGCCCCUUAUCCGGGGUCAAAAGAGAAACCGGUGCAAAUCCGGUGCAGACCCGCUACUGUAAUUGGGGAGCGGACGUUCACGGCGAAAGCCGCCCACUGGCCGACAGGCCGGGAAGGGGACCGUCCGCGUCGAUCCAUCAGCCAGGAAACCUGCAUGG
rnacentral:ncRNA from 1 species